rnacentral:lncRNA from 1 species
UUUUUGCAGAAGAGGUUGAAUUUUGAUAAACAGUGAAGACUUAAAAUGACACUAAGGUUUAUAACUGGCAUACUUAACAAAUAGCACGUAUGAUUUGCUCCAAAAUGUAUACGGAGAAGUUCCUCCUCUGCUCUGGGAUAAAGACAUUGGCCAUUUUUAUGAUUUAUUUGGUAAUUCUUGGUUAAAAAUUCUAUGGUCACUUUAACUUAGAAGCACAUUUUCAAUUCAGUGAUUAAAUAUGUCUGAUUCUAUGUUAUACUAGAAGCAAUGAACUUUCCUUAAACUUGUAUCUUCUAUCAUCUUCAGUUGGAUGUUCUGUAAGCUGACUUCUGGAAGUACAGAAGGUCUUUCUCUUCUUUCACUCACCCCAAGUUUACAAAUUGUGAUUUUAAAGACAUACUUUCAGUGUUAUUUGGGGAGAGUAGCAUGAAGGCACGUGUUAGAAGGAUAGUAAAGUUCUUUUGUGACUGGUUGUCAUAAGAUGAUUUAUCAUUUCAUAAACUUGGGAAAUGUUUAAAGUUUAUUCAUUUUCUGGUGAUUCCUCAAAGAUCCUCACUAAGAACAUUUCCUUGGACUUACUUUAAUGUGGGUAACGCAUUCUCCUCAGGAUUUUACCCAGGAUGCUGGCUUGCCCUCGCAGCCCAUGUUGUUUGUGGUGAAAAGUGUGUGUGUGUGUGUGUGUGUGUGUGUGUGUGUGUAUCUCCCCAAGUAGUCUUUUUUUUUUUUUUUUUUUUUUCCAAGUAGUAGUCUUAUCUGUCUCCACGAAGCACUCCCUGACACACUGGGAGCAUAUUUGCCAAUGAAACAAGAACCAUCCAAUGCUUCAUCUCAUAGACUAUCUUAGCAUGAGUCAAAUGCCUGUCCACCAUGAAUCUUUAAUUGUGGGGACACACAGUCAGCUCUAGAAGUGGUUCUGUUGAAACCACUCAUACUAGCUUGAAGGUAAAGGAACUCACAGUUCAGUCAAGCAGCUCUGUCAAGAGAUAUCUAUUGCACAAACUAAUUUAUUAAUCAGACUGCUUUUACAUGCUCAAUGUAAGUAAGAUGUACCAGGAAUAGUUUCCAGUUAUCUCUUUUUAAAAUUUUCAUCUUCUCCAUGUUGGUAUACCAUAUAUAUUAUAUAUUUAUGGUUUAGUCAAAAAUUCUAAUUUAACUUCCUGCUACAUAAUAAUUUCAGAAGCCUUUGGAGUGUCUAUAAAUGGACACUAUCUAUUAAGAUCAUUCAUUCAUCGUGUUUAUAAAAAUUCAAAUUCCUGGCCUCAUUCCAGACUUGCUAAUAUAGAAUCUCUGCUGAUAAUGCAACAUUUAUAUUUUAGCAAGCUCUUCCUAAAUGAUUAUUUGCCAUAUUAACAUUUGAAAAAGUGCAAAAAAUAUUGAGCAUUUUUACAAAUUAAUGGUUAAUACAAAUGUGGUCACAAACCAAAGACUUUAUAUUACUUUAAUUUCUAAAUAGAAAUUUAUUGGUGUAACAAUUAAUAUGAAAACUUUACAUGAACACAUGAAUCUCAAAAUGUGUAUUUUCAAAAAUUACAUAAUCUCUGAAAAUGAAAUUAUUGGUUAACUUUAAAGAUAGUUCAAAAUCUUCAUUGCUUAGAUACCAAUAAAUUAAGAUUAAAAAUAACAGAAACCUUAUGGACAGAGACAGUAAGACCCUAUGAUAUUAGGACUAGAGAAGGGGGAUUUCAGCCUUGAAUUUUAACUACAAUAGUAAAGGUCAGUAAAUUUAAAAUGCAGAAAUAUUUAAUUUGGGUGAAUGUUCAAAAUAAGUAUAUUUUAAUCAUCAUAGUUUCACUUCUACAAGAUUUUUGUUUUAAUUUACCCCUACAUUAAAUUAAAUUUCUGAUAAAAAUGAUAAUAUAAUUUUCCAAUUUCUUAAUCCUAACAUAUCCAUAUCUUCAAUUAUUUUAGAAUAUAAAGUAUUGCUCCACAAAAGUGGCACAGAAAUUAAAUUUUGUUAUAACUCCCAUAAAUAAUGGAGCUUUAGUAUGACUUUUUAUUCUGUAAAACCCAGUUAUUAGUUGAAGUUACAGUGGUCUUCAGUUAAGUGAUGAAAUGUCACAUCUCAAGGAAAUUAUAUUUUGUCAUAGGAAGCUAAGAAAUGACACUAGGAAGGGCUUUUCAAUAAAAAGUAUCAUCAGGUUAUAGACUUUUCAUUGCUUUCUUAAAAAAAUACAAAAUGCAUCUAAUUAAUUCAAGCAUUGAGUCAGUUAUGGGACUUUUCUUCUAAGAAAGCUUCAAAUACUGUUUUAUAAUUUUGGUUUGUAUGAAUCUCUUACAUAUAGCCUUCCAACAUUAAUCCCAGUUCUGCAGUCCUAAAAUACCUAGGGAACUGAUCUCUGAGCUUUCAACCUAAGCCAGUGAAAAUAUCCAUUAAUUAAAUCAUCACACAAGGAACAUUAUGACUGAUGUGGUGAUAGAGAAGUUUAGGGGAUCCCUGGGUGGCUCAGCGGUUUGGCUCCUGCUUUUGGCCCAGGGUGCGAUCCUGGAGUUGCCGGAUCAAGUCUCACAUCGGGCUCCUGGCAUGGAGCCUGCUUAUUCCUCUGCCUGUUGUCUCUGACUCUCUCUCUCUCUCUCUCUCUCUCUCUCUAUCAUAAGUAAAUUUUAAAAAAGAGAAGUUUGGCAUGCUAUAGUAAUAAAUAUCAGAAAGAUCCAAACUUGUUUAGAAAUUAAGGCAACUUUCCUAAUGAGGUAUGAUUUAAGCAAAGACCUGAAGGCUAAACAAAGUGAUAAUGGGAAGAGCUAUUUAGAGCAUGUAGAGAGGUGCAGAGGCUAAGAACAUGGCAGCUUACAAAUACUUUCAGAAUUGAAAUUAAAACAUAGUAUGUAAAAAACACAGAAAUAAGAGAAACUGGAAAGAUAAUGGACCAAAAUAUGGAAACUAUACAUAUUAUUAGUUUGCCAGGGCUGCCAUAACAAAGUACACUGGUUGACUUAAAAGAAAUUGACUUAAAAGAAAUUGAUUUUUUCACAGUUCUGGAGGCUAGAAGUCCAAGGUCAAGGUGUGGACAGAGUUGGUUUCUUCUGAAGCCUCUCUCUGGCUUGCAGAUGGCCACCUUCUUGCUUGUCCUCACAUGGUCUUCUCUGUGUGUGUGUACGUGGCUGCCUCUGUGUUCUAAUUCCUUUUAUAAAGACUUAUAGUCACAAAGCCUUAGUUAUAAAGACUACAGUAAUAUUGGACUAGGGCCCACCCUAAUGACUUCAUUUUAAUCUGAUCACCUUUUUAAAGUCCCUACUCCAAAUACAGUCACAUCUGGGGUAGGAGGAGUCAGGACUUGAACAUAUGAAUUUUGUGGGGACAUAAUUCAACCCAUAACACCAAAUGUAGAUGUUUGCACUGUAACAAAUGGAAAAUGGGCAGCACUGAAGGUUUUUAAGUCAAUAGAAUGGUGGAUAUAGUUUCUCUUUGAAAGUUAUUUCAACAUGCCCUAUGAAUAACACUUUGAAAGAAAUUAGAUUUGUGGCUUGUUAGCAAUUGCCCAGGGGAAAGACAGUAGGGCUAGCGAGGUGACCUAGGAAUGGCAAGAUGGGAGCAGAUUACCAAGAGUUAGGUGGUAAAUAAUAUUUAAUUGUGGUUUGUAUAAUCAAAGGAGAGAAAAUUGAAGAUUAGAGAAAUUAUUUCAUAUUUAAAUGCUGGUAACAGGAAACUAGUAGAAAAGAAAAAAUUGAAAAUAAAAGACAAGGUAAAGACUUUCAAAAGCAUUACAUUGAUAAAGCAAGAUCUAGGUUCAGCUAUGAAGUCAACAAUCUCCCCUGUUAGGAGCAAAGGCCUGUCCUGCAGGAAAGAGCGUUGCCUCAUAUUUUCACUAUGUAAUGGGGAAAACUGAUUAGAUGGAAAAAUCAACUCCAUUGUCUAGAUAACAAUGAUUAUUGGAUCCUAAAUCCAGGAACUAAUCCCAAAGCAAACAGGUAGGAAUCAAAAAAGGAGAUUGUAGUUUUUCAAAUGGCACUUAAUAUGGUUCCACAGUCCAUUAUGUUUUCUGAGGCUGAAUAAAAGGAGGCAUAAACAAUGAAAAGAACUGUAAAUGUUUUAAAAUGCAAUAAUGAUGAUUUAAAAGGAAAAAAUACUUCUUGACAUUAAAACAUCUACUGAGGUCAAUCCCUUUUAAUCCCAAAUCAAUGUCUAUUUGUUACAUUGAAUACAAUUCUCAUUCCUGUUUUAUCUCUCUAGCUUCACAGUGAUUUACUGAUUUAUUUACCUUCAUCUAGAAACCUUAAAUUUUGAAGGUCACUGCUUAACAUCAAUCUUAAAUUAUAAAAUGUUUAAAAGCCUUUAUAAUAAUCCUUUGUUAACGUAUUACAUUUGUUUUAUUAUGAAAUUUUUCAAAAGUUUAUAGAACUAGACUGCUGCAGUGAUCCAGACUAUACCCAUAAUCUAUUUCCAGCAGCCACCGAUCUUUAGCUACUAUUUCUAUCUUCCUUCCACCUUUAUUUUUUGCUGAAUUUUAAAAUAAUUUUUAGAUACCAUUUUAUAUCAACUAUCAAUCUCUCUUUUGUCAUGUCUAGAACAUUUUAAACAACAAAAAAAUGCCAUGAAAAUACCUAAUAAAAUUAGUAAGAACUGCUUAACAUCAUAUAAUACCUAAUUCAUUUUGUACUUUUCCCUUAAAGCUUCAUAGAUUUUAUCAUUGUUUUGUUUAAAUCAAGGUCUAAAAAAGGCCCAUAUGUUGCAUUCAUUUGCUUUGUCUCCUGAAUCUUUUAUUCAUAACUGUCUUCUCAUUUUCUCCCAUGCCAUUAAGUUGAAGAUAUAAGAUUGCUUUUCCUGCAGAAUCUCACAAUCUCAAUUUCCUUGAUUGCUUCCUUAUAAAUACAGAAUAAUCCCUGGAUAAGCUUAAUCUUAAUCAGAAAAGCAAAUGGCUCUUUUUGGAUAAAUUUUAAAUAUUAUAAGUUAAAGGCAUUCCAAGUGAACACUAACAAAUUAAGACUUAUAGUAUAAUUAAACUAUACCAAUCAUAAAUGCUUAAUAUGUAGGACAAUGAAUGCCCAAAAACCAGGACAGAGAAAAAUGCUAUAAUAAGCUUCAUAGCAAAAAAAAGAUGUGUGUGUCACAUUUAUUUCUUUUUUUUCUUUUGUCACAUUUAUUUCUAACAAUAUUUGACCAAUACCAGAUUUAACAAAACCAAAGAUGUAACAUUAUAUCUAAUGUUUGGUGCAAAAGAUCUAGUCUAUUUCUACCUGAAUUGAAAGGUAAAGUACACUGUUCAUGUCAAGCAAGGCUGAGAUACAACCCCUCAGGAAGCACAAGCAGACUCCUGGUAUUUGUUUAGAGCUCUGAUAAGCACACCUUCUGCCCUUACUUUGCUUUUCU